ACGGAGGGGGUACUGCUUCAGGGGUUCUUGCCCGCCUGGUACACGUUUAGUGGGAAGAUGCUCACCAGGCCGUGUGUGCUGCAGAAGAAUCCGGGCUUGAGACCCUGAAAUUCCUAAGCAAUUCAUGACCCUUGCUUAUGGCAUUUGGACCCAUGUGCUGAUGUCCCCAUGUGCUGAUGUCCCCUGGCCUCGGUGGCUGUGCCGUGCCCAGCUGGGCUGACAGCAGCAGUGGCAGCUGCUCCUGCUGGCUGCUGCUGGGCUGGAGCCCUGUGGUGCCAGCCCCAGUGUCUUUGGGGCAGGGGCUGCUUUUCCCGCCUUGAAUAAAGACGAGCACUUUGGCAUUG